UUGCAUUGGUUGCAGUAGCAGGCAGGAGCCAGCCAGGAGAAAUGCUGGUCCUACCAGCCGUUGAUCGUGAGCUGUCUCGAGGAGGCAGGCCAGAGACAUUUUGUAAAAUACAGGGGGGCCCAACUCCUCCCGUUCUUCAUCAGCUAUAAAACGCGCGCUUCGUCCCUGACCCCAUCCUACCAAACUCUUGCUUUCCUCCCUUCCUUCCACCAGUUGCAAUACAGCGCCGCAUCCGCGACAACUUUUCCUAGGAUCAUGGCCUCCAAAAUCUUCCGCGCCGUCGUCGUCGCGGCCGUCGCCUUGUCUUCCUUCGCCGGGGUUGCUCUGGCCGCCGACGAGCCCGCGCCGAGCCCGACGUCCGCUGCUGCAGCUCUCUCCUCGUCGCUCGUCGCAGCCGUGCUCUGCCCGGCCGUGGCGCUCCUCGUCGGCAGCAUGCGCCACUGAUGAGUUGGCUGAUCGAGGCCGCAGCGCGCGUGUCCCGGAGGCUCGCUCCAUGACGGAUUUUACGGUGAAGGUUACGCUGUUCUUGCACGGUCAUUUGCAAGAUGCGCCAUCUUUACCUCCGCUUUCGUACGUGUACCUAUAGCAGAGUUCUUCCGCUGCUGUUGUUGGUGUUAUCUGUGUUUUCAUGUGCUACCCAUCCAUUUGUAUUGACUCAUAAUUUGGAUCAGAAUUUGCCCUACUGAUUGUUUGCUCUGUUCUGGUAACCUGCUUAUCCUAUGAACUUGAUAUUUGUAUUUGGCAUGAGUAAUUUUGCGCGCGCUACAUGCACGAUUGAGUACUUGUUUUGAACUUUUAUGAACAGACGGUGACAUAUUUUGUACGGAGUAAAAUUUAACCAUUCGAAACUUUUUUUGCAAGGGUACAGUGCACUCUAAGUUCCAUCUGUACGCCGAAUGUCCCCUGUCAGUCAAAAUUAUCUAAAAGUGCACAUUGAAGUUUCUAAACAUAUGUGUUAAUUAAGCAUCAUCACAGCUCUUAAUUGCCAUCUAAGCAUAAGGUCUCUUAGGGCAUCCCUGCAACAGUGGAGUCAGUGUUGCCUCUCCAUGUCAGUCAUGCAGAGUCAACGGUAAAGUAACGCGUACAAGGGCUUGUGUUUUUAAACUGCAAUGUUGUACAAUGGUUAAGAAAUUGACUCUUAACUGACUUUUCUUCGAUUGUUGCCUUAAGAGUUCGACUUUUCGCCAAGACUUCGAUUUUUGCCUUAAGAGUCCAACUCUUCACGAAAAGUCAGUUCUCUUCUCUCUCCUAUUUCUCUUUCCUCCGUAUCAACGAAUUUCAAAAGAGUCAACUAACAGUCGUACUUAUCCUUUACGGAUGCCCUUAUCUUCCUCCGAUGACAUGUUCCUUGCAUCACUAACAUCUUUGGGGAAAGCUACACGUCGGCCGGCUGAUCUCAACAGAGAAUCGACUUCCUAGCCGCCCGAUCUAAAUUCUUGGGUGUUUGCUGCUCAUAGCAAAAACAAAUCUCGCAUGCAACACUUUUCUUCUGUCUUUGCAGCAUCUUUGUAGUAUUUUUUCACGCCCUGUUGAUAACAUGCAAAAAACAUUUCCGUGCCACCGAAACUUUUUCAUCCGCAUAGGGAUGUGUUAACAAAACAUUCGAUGAUAUAAGAAUGAAAUAAUGAUGUGUGAAUAAAAUAGUGUGGGUUACCUGAUACGUAAGUAGAUAUUUUAAAUCUCAAUCAACGUAUCAGAGCCGUUAUAUUUCUAUCUGAACAUCAUUUCACUCUCCUUUUCUCCAUUGUUUUUAAAACAAAAGUCAUAUCCAAUGGCCAAGAAAUCGACUUCUGUCUAAUUAAAAAUUAUACAAUUUAGAUAUAGCAAAACCAAAUAAAAUAACAUUUCCUAUACUUGAAUUUUUCGUAAACACGUCACUAUUUCAUUCGCGCACCAUUAACUCUUUCAUUAGCACAUUAUUAUUUCAUCGGUGAGAUUAGAGCGUGUCUGUUCAGAAGCAGGCCAUGUUCAGAAGAUGUCGGCUAGCGUGAACACCUUUACUGCCGUCGAUUUGCUCGCAUGCAUUCGCCGUGAUUAGCAGCGGGGAUCAGCUGAAGAUUAUUACGGAGUAAUGUCAUUUAGUGGUAUGAACUAGUAUUAGAGACCAUAGCACAGGUAAUUCUUCCCGUUCCCAACUUGUUCGUGUGAUACUGCAAGUGACCAUCUUAACAUCUUUACACCGGCCGGAUUGACCACCUCCAUGUACCUUCCGCUAGGAACAGGAAGGGCAUUUCUCAACAGAAUCCCGACGAGAGACGCC
rnacentral:lncRNA from 1 species